GCCGCUAAUAACGCCGCGGCGGGAGCCGGACGCUCGCUGAGAAUGCGCCACUGUGUUGGGAGCGAGAGGAACCGCACUCGUUUUUGAAUGAAACCCAGAACAACAGUGUGUUCGCGUGUUCCGCUGCAGCUGUGCACAGAGCCCUCUGUCUCUGCUAUUGCUGCCCAGCUGACUUUUCCCAGAUGGGUUUUCCUGUAAGAUCGGGUGUUAUUCGAAAAAUGCAAACGCUUUUCUGUUUUUUUUUGUAGGUAAUGCGUUCCAUAUGUGUCUGGACGCUAGCUUUUUUCUCUGCUUCACCUCUCUGUGUCAGGCUCGGAUUGGAUGCUAAUGGAUCUCGCUCCUAUUCCGGGGAGUUGUGUCCUUCCUCCCUGCUGACCUAUAUUCUACAAUACGAUGUCGGAGGCUUCCUUUGAAUUUUACGGUUGGAGGUGUAACUUUUCACAUCUCGCACAUGGAGGCCUGGAGGUCGUUGCUUACCCCCCGACAACAGGAUGUCUGGCAACACUGCAAAUAAACACUAAACUCCAAAAUGAGCAGCUUCGGGACUGUUGAGUUGCUGCAUUGGCUUGAUUCCACCGAACAGAAGCGAUAUCGGCUGACUCAGCAGUGGGACUCUGGAACAAAGCCUCGAUCCGUUGUGGAACGCGUUCUUAUUCAUCUCCACACCUGCAGACGGGGAGGUCAGCGCUACAGCACCGCAGCCUCAUCUGCACACGCCUGUUAUGUGUCUUGCACAAUAGGAUGAUUGACACUAAAUCAGGAAUGAGAACGCGUUCGCCUCCGACGCCGUCAGGGCUCAGACGGGACCCCAGGAGGCUCUGAGCUGCAGAUCAAUGUCCGUGGAGCCAGUGUUAUAAAUAAAAGAUGAAAUAAAGAGCUCUGAUGCAUGUAGGUGUCACCGUACAGUUGUGUUCUACUGCACAGUCAGCAAAUGUGUUUCCAUGACUAUCAAAUUCAGAAUCCUUUAAUUAAACUAUAUUUAAGAAACACUUGC